GGAAGCCUCUCUCUCUCUCUCCCCCCUCCCUCCUUGCAGCCUCAGUGGCUGAUCCAGUUCUCACUGUACACUUUACUACGGCUUGCAAUGUGACACUAAAAUAUACACUCCCUCGCUCUCUCACGCACACCUCACACACACACGCACGCACCCACCCAGACACUCGCACAUACCUUCACACACACACAUAUACACAGACACGCAUGCACGCACGCACACACGGACCCACGCGGGCGACGGGGCUAUAAUCCGGAGUGGAGAUCGUUCUUUCUCUCUGUGUGUGUGAACGGAUCUAGAUCGGUCGCUGCAUCUCCGCGUCUGGUUGAAGCGGAGCCCGCGGAGCAGCGGGAAGGGAACUAAGCGCGGUCGCCCGACCAGGAGCUAUUUCUCCGCGGGUGCGCCCGCAUCAUGUUUGGCGCGCCCAUGCCAUUGGAUUUUGUCGUGCUGUUCUGCUUGGCAUCUGCGAUCGCAGCCGUGGAAGAAACCCUAAUGGAUACUCGGACAGCCACGGCUGAACUUGGAUGGACAGCAAACCCACCUUCAGGGUGGGAAGAAGUCAGUGGCUACGAUGAGAACCUCAACACUAUCCGGACUUACCAGGUGUGCAAUGUCUUUGAGCCCAACCAGAACAACUGGCUCCUCACCACGUUCAUCAACCGACGGGGCGCGCACCGCAUCUACACAGAGAUGCGCUUCACGGUGAGGGACUGCAGCAGCCUUCCGAAUGUCCCUGGUUCUUGCAAGGAAACCUUCAACCUGUAUUACUAUGAGACAGACUCUGUCAUCGCCACCAAGAAGUCAGCCUUCUGGACAGAGGCCCCCUACCUCAAGGUGGACACCAUCGCUGCAGACGAGAGCUUCUCUCAGGUGGACUUUGGUGGCAGGUUGAUGAAGGUGAACACAGAGGUGAGGAGCUUUGGUCCCCUCAAUCGCAACGGCUUUUACCUGGCCUUUCAGGAUUAUGGGGCGUGCAUGUCACUGCUGUCAGUGAGGGUCUUCUUUAAGAAAUGCCCCAGCGUGGUGCAGAAUUUUGCCAUCUUCCCAGAGACGAUGACAGGAGCAGAGAGCACCUCCCUAGUGAUUGCACGGGGCACGUGCAUCCCGAAUGCCGAGGAGGUGGAUGUGCCCAUUAAGUUGUAUUGCAAUGGUGAUGGGGAGUGGAUGGUUCCCAUUGGCCGCUGUACCUGCAAGGCUGGAUAUGAGCCCGAGAACAAUGUGGCCUGCAAAGCUUGCACAGCAGGGAUGUUCAAAGCAAACCAGGGUGCCGGGACCUGCACACAGUGCCCCUCCAACAGCCGCUCCACAUCAGAGGCUGCCCACAUUUGCACUUGUCGCAAUGGUUACUACCGUGCUGACUUUGAUCCAUCAGAGGUUCCUUGUACCAGUGUUCCUUCCGGGCCUCGCAACGUGAUCUCUAUUGUCAAUGAAACGUCAAUUAUACUAGAAUGGCACCCACCCCGGGAGACGGGAGGUCGAGAUGAUGUGACCUACAACAUUGUCUGCAAGAAGUGUCGGUCGGACCGCCGUAGCUGCUCCCGCUGUGAUGACAACGUGGAGUUUGUGCCAAGGCAGCUGGGCCUCACGGAAACCCGAGUCUUUAUCAGCAACCUGUGGGCCCAUACGCCAUAUACCUUUGAGAUCCAGGCUGUCAAUGGAGUUUCCAACAAAAGCCCAUUCCCACCGCAGCAUGUCUCCGUGAACAUCACCACCAACCAAGCUGCUCCCUCCACAGUUCCCAUCAUGCACCAGGUAAGUGCCAGCAUGAGGAGCAUCACACUGUCAUGGCCUCAGCCGGAACAGCCCAAUGGCAUCAUCCUGGACUAUGAGAUCCGUUACUAUGAGAAGGUGAGCCGGAUCUGCAUCCCCGAGAUUAGCAGCACUAUGGGCGCAAGACCAUCCACCGACCACAAUGAGUACAAUUCCUCCAUGGCAAAGAGCCAGACCAACACGGCACGGAUUGAUGGGCUGCGACCAGGGAUGGUGUAUGUGGUACAGGUUCGGGCUCGGACAGUGGCUGGCUAUGGGAAAUACAGUGGAAAAAUGUGCUUCCAAACCUUAACGGACGAUGACUACAAGUCAGAACUGAGAGAACAACUGCCAUUGAUUGCCGGGUCUGCAGCAGCAGGGGUCGUCUUUAUUGUCUCCUUAGUGGCUAUUUCAAUUGUUUGCAGCAGGAAGCGAGCUUACAGCAAAGAGGCAGUAUACAGUGAUAAGUUACAACACUACAGCACUGGUCGAGGCUCCCCAGGAAUGAAGAUCUACAUUGACCCUUUUACGUAUGAGGACCCCAAUGAAGCUGUUCGUGAGUUUGCCAAGGAAAUUGAUGUGUCUUUCGUGAAGAUUGAAGAAGUCAUUGGAGCAGGGGAGUUUGGUGAAGUCUACAAAGGGCGCCUCAAACUGCCUGGCAAGAGAGAAAUCUAUGUGGCUAUUAAGACAUUAAAGGCUGGCUACUCUGAGAAGCAGCGGCGGGAUUUCCUGAGUGAGGCCAGCAUCAUGGGUCAGUUUGAUCAUCCAAACAUCAUUCGGCUAGAGGGGGUGGUCACCAAAAGCCGUCCAGUGAUGAUUAUUACAGAGUUUAUGGAAAAUGGUGCCCUGGAUUCCUUUUUACGACAAAACGAUGGGCAGUUUACAGUCAUCCAGUUGGUGGGGAUGCUGCGAGGGAUUGCAGCUGGUAUGAAGUACCUUGCAGAAAUGAAUUACGUCCACCGGGACCUUGCAGCCAGAAAUAUCCUGGUCAACAGCAACCUGGUUUGCAAAGUAUCUGACUUUGGCCUGUCACGUUACUUACAAGAUGACACCUCAGACCCAACUUAUACCAGCUCUUUGGGUGGGAAGAUCCCAGUGAGGUGGACAGCCCCAGAAGCCAUCGCCUACCGCAAAUUUACAUCUGCCAGCGAUGUGUGGAGUUAUGGGAUUCUCAUGUGGGAAGUGAUGUCAUUUGGGGAAAGACCCUAUUGGGACAUGUCCAACCAAGAUGUAAUUAAUGCAAUUGAACAAGACUACCGGCUCCCUCCUCCCAUGGACUGCCCAGCUGCCCUCCACCAGCUUAUGUUAGAUUGCUGGCAGAAAGACCGCAACACCCGGCCACGCUUUGCUGAAAUAGUUAACACCCUAGACAAAAUGAUCCGUAAUCCAGCAAGCCUCAAAACUGUGGCUACCAUCACCGCUGUGCCUUCUCAGCCACUGUUGGACCGCUCCAUCCCUGAUUUCACUGCCUUUACCUCAGUAGAAGAUUGGCUCAGCGCCAUCAAAAUGAACCAGUACAGAGACAGUUUUCUGACUGCUGGAUUCACGUCCCUUCAAUUAGUUGCCCAAAUGACAUCAGAAGAUCUUCUAAGAAUAGGGGUGACCUUAGCUGGACACCAGAAGAAGAUCCUGAACAGUGUCCAGUCUAUGAGAGUACAGAUGAGCCAGUCGCCAACUUCGAUGGCAUGAUGCUUCGUGUCUUCUUACAACAAUGGGGGAAAAGAGGGGAGGACAGAGGAGGGUUGGAUGUGGGAGGGGAGGGUAAGCCGACAAGACAGUGAGAUGUUUGCAGAGGUUGGAUUAUCGUCUGAGAACUUUUAGGAGCUGCAGGCGAAGAGGACACAGGACUUGUUUCAACAUGGCAACUUCCGUUUCUCUCCAACAGAAGCACACUUACUGAUGCCAUGGGAAGCAGCAUAUAAAUAAGUAUAAAUAUGUACAAACCAUAUAUUUAAAAAAAAGCAGUGAAGACAAACCAAUGUGUGUUGGGAGGAAAAUAGACUCUAAUCCCACCACCAGUGAGCAGUAGUCAAGGGGCCGGUGGGAAGGAGAGAGAUGCAACCCAGAGCAACCAUCUUCAGCAAUCAUGUUCCUUUUCUUCUCUUCUUACGUUCUCCUGAUGGAGUCCUUCUCACCCACCCAUUUCCCUGUUUUGCUCAUAAACCCUGGGGAAUUUUCUUCAACAGUCUCUACAGCUACCUACUAGAAUAUCAAGGCAUUGUUCCACCAGUUACCAAAGGACUUCACUGACCACUGCAUGGGGGAUCCAGAACAAUCCAGUUAAUGUCUUCAUAUUGAAGAAGAGAUGUACCUUCAAUAGAAAACCUUGUUUUUUUCUUUUGCUUGCAUUUUUUUGCAAAAAGGGAAAAAAAAUCCUCAUGGAAAAGAAGAAAGAGUGAAGGUGUUCCCGCGAGUGUGCGUGUGUGCGUCUGUAUGUUGUCAACUUAACUGAGGAGUCACUCACUGCUUGUCCAUAGCAGGAAAAAAACCAAGUGGGACUGACGGAAGAUAAAUUCACCACCUCCGGGGAAACUGGAGAUUCAGUGGGGGAACAGAAGUGGUAUGUUUUGCUUUCUGUCUAGAUCAACUGCGCAUGGAACGUGUAUUAGGAAAUGGGGGGAGAAAAGGGAAAGCAAAGGAUUUCAUAGGAGGAAGAAAGCAGAAGAGUGGACUAUGCAACAAGGGUUUCGUGUAAAACUGUUACAGGAUGCACAACUGUAGAGGCAACUGAACAGUAGAAUCUAGCAUCCCAGGGACCAACAGAGGAAGACUCGGGGAUAUUUAGUUUCCUUGUGUGGACCUAAGAAUUUUGAUAUAUAUUCACUUUGGUUUCAUGCCAUCAGAGGAACACUUUUAUGCCACUGUUUGAUGCCGGAAGGACAUGGAAAGAGGCCAGCCCUGACAGCGAAGCUUACCACCGCAGACCUGUCCUUGUUUUCCGCUGGCAAGCUGGCCAUGCCCUGCAGAUGAGCUGUGACCUCCUGAGGGUGAUGCCAAGCCCUCGUGUCAAGAA